rnacentral:rRNA from 1 species
AAGCGCAAGAGCAAGCACACGAGGGCAUACACGGCGGCCGAGGACAAGCUUCUUUGCGAGUGUUGGAGAGACAUUGGACAAGACCCCAAGACCGGCGCCGAACAAAAGCAUUCAACCUUUUGGAUUCGUAUCCACCGGGAGUUUCAUGAGCGUAAGAAGUUUCCUCCUUACCAAAUUGUGAGCACACGUGGGUGGGUGUCCAUUUCAAAGCCAUGGAGAGUGACCCAACAAGAGUGAAACAAGUUUUGUGCCACUCUUGAGAGCGUCAAGGCCUGCCCCGUGAGCAGCAUCGGCAUGCAAGACAUGGUAUGGUAG